UUUUUUUUUUUUUUUUUUUUUUCAUCACUUUCAAAGGGAGAGUAAAUGCUUGCAUACACCACAAGCCUUUAGACAAUACAGGUAUUGGAUGGGCUUUGUAUCAAUGAAAGUGUUUUCAGGUUCAAGAAAUGCAUGUAUGCUGUACCUGGUGUAUUGUAACUGCAGGUAAUGAUACAUAUAGAGGGAGGAAUUCAGAUUUUUACUUUGAUCAUUUCUGAUGAAUUUGAAAUCGGCUCACUACUGGAACAACUGUGAGACAGUUUUCCCUAUCUUCUUUCAAACUCCAGUUGGUUCCGUCUUGGUUAUCAACCUUUUAUAUGCAGAGAUGUACAGCUAAACCAUGUGUCUGUAUGACGUGAAGAUAACUAUUCAUUUGUUUCAUAUUAUUUCCUUAUCUUCCCUCCCUCUUUUUGCUCUUGCAUACAAGUGAAUAUACAAAAUGGCAAACACUGCACAAAAUUAAACCAUUAUUAAAUAUCUCUAAAAUGUCUAGUAUUGCCAAACACUAAUGUUGAUUUCUCGUUUAUUUAUUUUGGGAAUGUAUAAUAAUCGGAAUAAACACACAAAAAUGGAUCCUUUCACACAUCAUCUGUAUGCUGUUUUGGUUAAAAUACUGUAGAUACUUAACCAAGGUAGACUAACCUUGUGAUGCUCUUGGGGCAAUACCUCUGUAUAUAUUAGCUACAACAGAUUGGAUUUUAUGUUAACAUUUGUUUGGUUAUAGUGCAAUAUAUUUUGUAUGCAAGCAGUUUCAAUAAAGUUUGAUCUUCCUCUGCAACC